rnacentral:tRNA from 1 species
GUCCCUGUAGCGCAAUGGAUAGCUCGUUGGACUUGUAAUCCAAAGGUCGUGGGUUUGAAUCCCAACUGGGAUG